rnacentral:rRNA from 3 species
GUUAUAGGGUCAAGCGAACAAGUGCAUGUGGUGGAUGCCUUGGCGAUCACAGGCGAUGAAGGACGCGGUAGCCUGCGAAAAGCUUCGGGGAGCUGGCAAACGAGCUUUGAUCCGAAG